rnacentral:sRNA from 1 species
GAUUUUGUGAUCAAUUUUGGUAAAAUGUCUCAGUUCGUACGCGUGAAGUUAAUUUUGAAGUGUCGAGUGCCUUUGGACAUAAGCCUCAAUAGUCCCAUUUUAAAGCAAAAACCUUGCAAUUUUGGUCUGUAGACACCCUACACCUUUCCAGGCCUAUAGGGAGAUUCCCAACAUUUCAAAAGUGGUCCGCAUAACUUGUUACAGAGCACGGCUUAAAGAGCGACAGUUUAUUGGGAUGCAUAUAACACACGGCUCAACCUAUAAAAUAAGAUGAUCAGAGCGAAAAAGCGAACCAUAUAACAUGAAUAAAUAUAUUAUAUUUUCGUGAACC